UAUUGAUUUUUGGGGACUUUGGGAGUUCGACCUGGAAAGAGAGAGAGAGAGGAGCAUGACACAGAGCUUUAGAGAGGAGGAAGAGAGGGACAGAGACCUUGAGAUGGAGCUAAGGGAAGAGGGACAUGGAGAGGGGCAGAUCGGAGGUGAAAGGGCCGAACAGAGAGGGAGAGCUCCACCCGAGAGGAAACAGAGUAGGGAGGAAGAACGUGGGCUCGAUUGAGAGCUCGGGCUGGGGUUUAUGGAAGAUGAAGAAGAAAGGAAGAACAGAGAGAGGAAGAGUGAGAAAGAGACAGAGGAUGUGACGACAAGCUCGGAAGGGCAAUGACUAAUUAAAGGAGAAUCGAGAGUGACGAAUGGGACAGAGCAAGCGAAGGUACGACGGAUGGAAGGGGGAGAGCAUCGAAUAGGGAAAAGCUUAGCAUCUAACUAGGUCAUGGGCUAUGUUAGGAGCUAAGGAGACCGAGGCUAUACGACCGAGGCUCUUCUUGUUGAUUAAAUUUUUGAGAGCACAUCAUGGGACGAUCAGGCUGCUGAUCUGACGGAAUAUAAAAUAGACGAUUAGGCCAUUGAACCGGCGGAAUAUAAAACGGACGUUAGACUCCUACUGCGGGAGAAUAAUAGGCGGUCCCUACUUAUGAGAUUUGAUAUCAUGAGAUUGUGGAUGAUACAUGCGGGGUCAUGGUACCGUCGAAAUUCUGUCGCGAGGGAAUGCGACCAUAUGCCUAGUAUUUGUUGUAUUGAUAUUGUUGUUGAGUUUAGAUUAUAUUGAAUUGAUGAAGGAUAUCGACUUUCGAGGUUGGUGAGUAAAUAUAUAAUAAAAAAUUUGUUUUAUAACGAAUAUUGUAAGGCAAGUGAUAGGUGAUUGUUUGUGAAUAUUAAUUGGAUAAGUAAAUAAUUUUAGUAUUUCAUUUUAUUGCGGAAUUAGUACUCAUUGAAAUACAGCUCGCUCCCUGCAUAUUUCCUUUUUGCAGAUGAGUUAGAGGCGCUAGUAGCGCAGGAGAGACAUUUGACGUUAGGAUUCUAUGUAUAAUUGUUUAUACUGACGUGAUUAACAAAGAAUGAAACUCUACCCUUCUAUUUGUAUUAUCGGGUAUAAAGCUGUUCUACGUGUGAGCCCCGGUUCAUGUAUGAGCAGGGUUCAUGUGAAUGGACUUAUUGAGCUAAUUGGUGAUGAUGAAUAGCGCUCAUUAUGGACCCUUUAUGUAUGUAAAUUAUAAAUAUAUAACCUUUGAAUUUGGUGAGAGAGAUUCCCAACGCUUUGAAUAGUACAAGAUGCCAACUUAGAAUCAAGAGGAUCUAGUGGUUUGAUCGUCGUGGGACUUUGAAGCAAUGAUUCUACCAUUCAAACGAACAGAUGAACAAGCCUGCUGCUCAAGUUGCAUUAUUAAAAAACUAGUAUGACAACUAAUUAGAAAUUGUUUAUUAAUUCCGAUAGAGAUUCCUAGGACAGUAGUCACGAUCCUCUCAGACGAUAAGCCUCACCUUAAUCAUGGGGAGCAGGCGUGCUCAAGUGACAUUUGAUGCUAUUAAUGUAACGAUUAAUUACUAAUUGCUUAUUCACACAGGGAUUUCGCAGAAGCUGCUGGACGUUGAGAUCGAUGACUUUUAGACAAUCAAAUUGAUAAUACAAAAUUACUUUUAGCAAUCAAACUAGAUGAUGACUCACGCGAUGUGCGGAAUUGGAAAGAAAAACUAAAUAUUUUAUUAAUGUUUUAGUAUAUAUUUUAAAAAGAUUCCCUGCUUGAGGACAGCUACAGAGUAACUUAGCUAUAACUGAAAUAACGGUUUGUUCG